CAUAAAUGUAAGAUGAUCUUACAGGUAGUACUUGCAGUUUAAUGAUAUAUUUUUAUUAUUAUUAGAGGGU
rnacentral:tRNA from 1 species